UCUUUGUUGAUUCUGUUUUGAAUAUUGUGUUUAUGGUUGGUGUGUGUGUGUGUGUUUUUGGUAAGAGUUAAUUGGAGGCCAGGAUAAGUCUAUUACUGAAAUCGUGGCCCGGAAGAAACCCCAUACAUCCUACUUUCCAUUUCCGGUGGUGAGCAACAUUUCUUGGUCAUGGAUCGGAAAUAUAAUCACCGGCUGCUGACCCACGUCCACCUCAUCCCUGAGCCGAUUAUAGACAGAGGGCAGGUACAAUACGGUUCUCCGGCCCCAGCAAAACGACGUGUGGUGCAGCAGCAGCAGCCACAGAUGCGUGAGGUGCGUCCGCGUCUGCUGCUGCAUACUUCUGAGGUGCAUCCACGUCUGCUGCUGCGUACACCUGAGGCGCGGACGAUUCCGCUGCAGACGUCUGAGGCCGAGGCGCCUCUACUGCAGAAACCUAAGCCGCGGCGGCCUCUGCUGCAGAUGCCUGAGAUGCGGCCGCCUCUGUUGCAAACACCUGAUGCACGGCGGCCUCUGCUGCAUACGCUUGAGGUGCAGCCCCUUGUGUUGCAAACACCUGAUGUGCGGCUGCCUCUGCUGCAGACGCCUGAGGCACAGGCACCUCUGCUGCAAACACUUCAGGUGCGGUCACCUCUGCUGCAAACACCUGAAGUGCGUCCGCCUCUUCUCCAAACGCCUGAUGUGCGGGAACCUCUGCUGCAGACGCCUGAUGUGCGGGAGCCUCUGCUGCAGACACCUGAUGUGCGGGAGCCUCUGCUGCAGGCACCUGAUGUGCGGGAGCCUCUGCUGCAGGCACCUGAGGUGCGGGAGCCUCUGCUGCAGACACCUGAGGUGCGGCAGCCUCUGCUGCAGACACCUGAGGUGCGGCAGCCUCUGCUGCAGACACCUGAGGUGCGGCAGCCUCUGCUGCAGACACCUGAGGUGCGGCAGCCUCUGCUGCAGACACCUGAGGUGCGGCAGCCUCUGCUGCAGACACCUGAGGUGCGGCAGCCUCUGCUGCAGACACCUGAGGUGCGGGAGCCUCUGCUGCAGACACCUGAUGUGCGGGAGCCUCUGCUGCAGGCGCCUGAUGCGUGGCCGCCUCUGCUGGAGACGCCUGAGGUGCGGGAACCUCUGCUGCAGCCACCUGAGGCACGGCUGCCUCUGCUGCAGAAGCCUGAUUUGCGGCCGCCUCUGCUGCAGGCGCCGGAUGCGCGGCCGCCUCUGCUGGAGACGCCGGAUGCGCGGCCGCCUCUGCUGGAGACGCCGGAUGCGCGGCCGCCUCUGCUGGAGACGCCGGAUGCGCGGCCGCCUCUGCUGGAGACGCCGGAUGCGCGGCCGCCUCUGCUGGAGACGCCGGAUGCGCGGCCGCCUCUGCUGGAGACGCCGGAUGCGCGGCCGCCUCUGCUGGAGACGCCGGAUGCGCGGCCGCCUCUGCUGGAGACGCCGGAUGCGCGGCCGCCUCUGCUGGAGGCGCCGGAUGCGCGGCCGCCUCUGCUGGAGGCGCCGGAUGCGCGGCCGCCUCUGCUGGAGGCGCCGGAUGCGCGGCCGCAUCUGCUGGAGGCGCCGGAUGCGCGGCCGCAUCUGCUGGAGGCGCCGGAUGCGCGGCCGCAUCUGCUGGAGGCGCCGGAUGCGCGGCCGCAUCUGCUGGAGGCGCCUGAUGCGCGGCCGCAUCUGCUGCAGGCGCCUGAUGCGCGGCCGCAUCUGCUGCAGGCGCCUGAUGCGCGGCCGCAUCUGCUGCAGGCGCCUGAUGCGCGGCCGCAUCUGCUGGAGACGCCUGAUGCGCGGCCGCAUCUGCUGGAGACGCCUGAUGCGCGGCCGCCUCUGCUGCAGACGCCUGAUGCGAGGUCACGUCUGCUGCAAACACCUGAGGUUCAUUCACCUCUCUUGCGAACGCCUGAUGCGCGGCCGGCUCUGCAGCAGAUAUUUAAGGCGCGGCCGUCUCUGCUGCGGACGCAGCUGCUGGUGCAGCAGAGUCAACAUCCGUCCAUGACACAGGGCCCUGUGGCAUCUGUAGCUACGCCGAAAGUGACGAGCACAGUCACAGAGGCUGAUCAAAACCCAAGUUCUAGAAAGCAGCAGAAAAUUUGUCAUCAUGGCCAUCAACAAACAAAUAUUGCCGCUGAAACUUAUUCCCCAUUUUACUUGGGAUUUCUUCCUGCUGAAACUUCUCCUUAUGAGAAGUGAAUCUACAGAUUCAGAAAAAGAGCCCCAUUUAGUAGAAUGUGAGAGGAACAUCGAAAGUCCAGUUAAGAAAUGGAAACAACAAUAAGCAGGUGGAUUGAACUCAUCUAGGGGUGAGAAGUCAUGUACCCACAUGAUGUGUACCACAAAUCCAGUUUCAGCUCACCGCAGGUCUGGGAAGGAAGUUUUAGAGUACUGCAGAGGUAAAUUCGAGAGUAUGGGGAAGUUAACACAGAAGUGAACUCUGGCAAAGUGUCUGUCACUGACUCAUUCCUUUACCAUUUGCAGAACAAAUUCGUCUCCUUUUUAAGGUUUUGCAAAUCACCACUAUGUAGUGCUGUUGAGAUGUGACAUGACUAUGGUUUAAAACUUCUCGUUUUUAAUGUUGAAACAAUGGAAACUUUGAAUUUGCCUGAUUACUUUGUUUACAGUGAGUGUUUAACAAAAUUGUGUAGACAAAAAGUGUAAAAGUUUUUGCUGAAUUUUCUUUAAAGACUUGCAUAAAAGCCUAACUCUACAGUGAUACCUCAAAUUGCUUUGUUCAACUUUUUGUAAUCGAUUGCUUUCAGAAAAAAUAUCUGUUCCCUGUGGGUGUUGCGCAGUACGAUCGAAGCUUAAAAAUGAGACUCGCGUCAGUUAGCGAAAUAAAUUGCUAAAAAAUUUUGACUUGGGAAAGGAAAAAUUCAUAAGCAACCAUGUAGCAGGAGGCUCAUCUCACUUAUACAAGGGCCGUCUGAAAAGCUCUGAGCCUGAUAGUGAAUAUGACAGUUUAUGCUAUCAAAGAGUAUAUUUCAUCCAGCAUUGUUAGUUUGCUGCUAUCCCCUCUCUGUAGUGUUCUUCCAGAGUGCUGCAAAGUAUCCAUGUAAAGCCACAGUGGCUUCUCCAUUGGAUAGAAAGACCUGACCAGUGAGGAAUGUCUUCAGUUUUGAGAACAGAUGGAAGUUUGAGGUAGCCAAAUCUGGGGAAUAUGGUGGAUGUUCCAGCACUUGAUAGAACAAAUCCUGCAAUUUCCCCAUUGGCAAGACCCUUUCAUGGGCAGGUGCGUUGUCCUGAUGGAAGAUGAUUUUUUUUUCUUCUUUAGGCUGUUUGUUUUCACAACUGCUUGCAUCCAAUAUUGUGAGAAGUUGAGUGCAGUAUUCUCCAGUUAUGGUUUUACAUUUUUCAAGACAGACAAUCAAUAAAAUUCCUUUUGCAUUCCAGAACACCAACACUAUGACCUUUCCCUCCGAUGGCUGUGUCCUUGCCAUCUUUGUAGCUUGCAUUCACUGUAUAGUCUGCUGUUUGGAUGUGGGUGUGUAGUGGUAAAGCCAUUUUUCAUCCACUGUCUUGACUGUUAACACAAAAAGUCACUUCUGUUUUUCUUAAAAUGCACCAUGCACUUUUCAGAAAGUGUAAUGUGAAUGCAAUUUUGAUCCUCAGUGAGCAAAUGUGGCACCCAUCUUGCACAAAGGUUUCUCAUAUUCAGUUCCUAGUGGAAGAUGUGACCAUCACAUUCCUUUGAUAUCCCUAGAGCAUUAGCAAUUUCAAUCGCCUUUAUACGCCGGUCUUCCAAAAUCAUACCAUGGACUUUGUCAUUGAUUUCUGGUGCAUUUGCAGUUUUUGGACGUCUUCCUUGUGAAUUAUCUUGGACACUUUCAAGGCCGUGUUUAAACUCUGCAGCCCAUUUCUUCACAGUGGAAAUUGAAGGUACAGAGCCGUUAUGCAUAUUUACAAGCCACAAAUGAAUUUUGGUCAGUGUUACUCCUUCUUUUAUGAAUAAGUUAAUCACUGUACAAUUUUCAAUUUUUUCCAUUUUCAACACCACACACACCACAACUACUUCAAACGACCGCCUACAGUCAACUUGCAAUGUUACAUGGCGUCUGUAACAUGUGUACCAACAUAAGGGGGAAAAUAUCACGCAAGUAGUGCUGUGAUCUCUGGGUGAGGCUGAGAACUUUUUAGUCAGCCGUCAUAUUUGUAUGAGCUGGAAAGUAUGCAGCAGUCAAGUUUGUCCUAAUAAAAGUAACAAAAGUAGUUUCUUGGUGAAGCACUUCCGAGAGAGAGACGACUCAUUUCUCUAGUCAUACUGGGCUACGUUGACAUUUCUUUAGAGGACAAAAGUUAACACUGAAUGGUAUACAACAAUAUUGUUUGUCGUCAGUUAAAAUAGGGAAAACCACCUAAAAUGUUGCAUCAUUCUUUAUCACGGAAAUGCCAUCUGACUCAAAAUGUCAAAUAGUUGAUUAUUUGACAGAGAAAAACAUCAGAUUUACAUCUCUUUAGUUGUAUUAUGACCUAAAAAGUUAUUUUUGUUUGUUUUAUGUAAGUAAAAAAUUACGUGGACAGUGAUUUCCAUCUACUCAGAAAGCUAUUGAAUCCUCCCAAACCACAUUAUCAAAGAUAUCAACAUCAGAGAGGAAAAAAGUUUCCAUAAUUGGAUCGAACAAAUGCAAAGCUGCAUAAAUUUUAUAGACACGUAUUUUGAGCAACAAUAGAAUGAUUUGUACAAAAAAAUGUUCUUUUUCAACUGUUUUUUAUAAAUACAUAAAAGGCAGCCAUUGUAGUAAGUGUUGUCAAAUAUAUGCCUCUGAUUUGUUUCAUAUGUGUGUGUCUGUCUGCCACUGCUUGCUAAAAGAUUCUUUGUAAAUUUUGCGGAACAGUUUUGUACUGUUCUGUUUGCAACUACACUCAUGUUUAUACUCUGAACUUCUCUUACAGUUUAGUGUGGAAAAUAACCACAUAAUGUUCUUUGUGAACAUGUGUGCUGUGGAACUGAAAACACUCAGCAAGCAAGAUCUUAAAGUGCCGUACAUCUCCAACAGUUUUGUAGAGUUGAAGACAGCAGAGAAAAGGAAAAGUACUGGAAGUUCUGCUUCCAGUAAAGGAAAUAAUUGGUCACUGGCUGAUAUGUUAACAUUUUUAAACAAUGGAUCACAAGUGAGUAUUUCACAGAAGUACAUCCAACGUUGAGGCAGAUGAAGUGCAAAGCCCACAAUAUGAUGGUGAACUGAGUAACAGAGAGGUGUGCCAGACAUUGCCAACUUUGUCAGAAAAAGAAAUUUUUUUCUGAAGACGUGGAAGACAUCGCAUCAUUCAGACCACCCAGGGAAAGGUCACAACAAAAUGAAAAAAAAAAAUCAUGGAGUUGAUGAAUUCUAAGCAGGCCAAGAGAGAAACCAUAAUGAAAAGGCUGCCUGCAGCGUAAAAAAAUUGAAUCACAAUUUGAUCAAUGAAGUCAAAUUGAGAUCCUUGCAGAUGCUUAUUGAUUUGGAGAAUCACAGUUAAUUUGAAUACUACUCUUCCAUGUGCCUUUCAUCUCCAAGUAGUUUUUCAUACUCAACAACUCCAACACAUUGCCAACUUUGUCAGAAAAAGAAAUUUUUUUUUUCUGAAGACGUGGAGGACAUCGCAUCAUUCAGACCACCACAGAGACCGAAACGCCAGCUUAUUAAUGCAUUUAAUGUUGCAGUAAGUGUUAAUUUCAUAUUUUUGUAUUGUGCAAUUUUCAUUUUUUACACUGUGUGCAUUAUUAAUAAAGC